rnacentral:sRNA from 1 species
GCUGGGCAUGGUGGUGUCUGCCUGUAAUCCCAGUGACUCUGGUGGCUGAGGCAGGAGAUUGCAAACUGGAGGCUGGCUUCAGCAAUUUAGACCAUGUCUCAA